AUUCUAAUUCUUGUUUGCAUUUUCAUAUCCCGACCUGAUGAUAACUCAACAUUGACGAUCAUCGAUGGAUCAUUUCCAAUCAAUGACUAUUGAAUAAACGGAAUCCUAAAUAUUCUUGAUAACAUUGAUUCUAAUUCUUGUUUGCAUUUUCAUAUCCCGACCUGAUGAUAACUCAACAUUGACGAUCAUCGAUGGAUCAUUUCCAAUCAAUGACAAUUGAAUAAACGAUCAUCGAUGGAUCAUCCC